rnacentral:rRNA from 1 species
CCAAUAGCGUAUAUUAAAGUUGUUGCAGUUAAAAAGCUCGUAGUUGAACUUCGGGAUUUACCCAUUGGUCAGGCUUAAUUGUCUGUACUGGUGAGCUGAAUCUCUACCUUCUGAGGAACUUUCAUGCCAUUUAUUUGGUGUGAUGGGAAAUCAGGACUGUUACUUUGAAAAAAUUAGAGUGUUUAAAGCAGGCUAACGUCUGAAUACAUUAGCAUGGAAUAAUGAAAUAGGACGGACUGAUUCUAUUUCGUUGGUUUCUAGGAUCACCGUAAUGAUUAAUAGGGAUAGUUGGGGGCAUUAGUAUUCAAUUGUCGGAGGUGAAAUUCUUGGAUUUAUUGAAGACUAACUACUGCGAAAGCAUUUGCCAAGGAUGUUUUCAUUAAUCAAGAACGAAAGUUAGGGGAUCGAAGACGAUCAGAUACCGUCGUAGUCUUAACCAUAAACUAUGCCGACUAGGGAUCGGACGAAGUUAAUUUUAUAAUGACGCGUUCGGCACCUUACG